UGCUUACCAUGCAAGUCGAACGGUGAACACGGAGCUUGCUCUGUGGGAUCAGUGGCGAACGGGUGAGUAACACGUGAGCAACCUGCCCCUGACUCUGGGAUAAGCGCUGGAAACGGCGUCUAAUACUGGAUAUGUGACGUGACCGCAUGGUCUGCGUCUGGAAAGAAUUUCGGUUGGGGAUGGGCUCGCGGCCUAUCAGCUUGUUGGUGAGGUAAUGGCUCACCAAGGCGUCGACGGGUAGCCGGCCUGAGAGGGUGACCGGCCACACUGGGACUGAGACACGGCCCAGACUCCUACGGGAGGCAGCAGUGGGGAAUAUUGCACAAUGGGCGCAAGCCUGAUGCAGCAACGCCGCGUGAGGGACGACGGCCUUCGGGUUGUAAACCUCUUUUAGCAGGGAAGAAGCGAAAGUGACGGUACCUGCAGAAAAAGCGCCGGCUAACUACGUGCCAGCAGCCGCGGUAAUACGUAGGGCGCAAGCGUUAUCCGGAAUUAUUGGGCGU
rnacentral:rRNA from 1 species